UCCGGUUUGUCACCGGCAGUCUCAUUAGAGUGCCCAACUAAAUGUAGCAACUAAUGACAAGGGUUGCGCUCGUUGCGGGACUUAACCCAACAUCUCACGACACGAGCUGACGACAGCCAUGCAGCACCUGUGUCCAGGCCCCGUAAGGGGAGGAAUCCAUCUCUGGAAACCGUCCUGGCAUGUCAAACGCUGGUAAGGUUCUGCGCGUUGCUUCGAACUAAACCACAUGCUCCACCGCUUGUGCAGGCCCCCGUCAAUUUCUUCGAGUUUUAACCUUGCGGCCGUACUCCCCAGGCGGAGAACUUAACGCGUUAGCGACGGCACCGGGAGGGUCGCUCCCCCCGACGCCUAGUGCCCAUCGUUUACGGCGUGGACUAC
rnacentral:misc_RNA from 1 species